AACGAACGCUGGCGGCAGGCUUAACACAUGCAAGUCGAACGGGUGCAGCAAUGCAUCAGUGGCAGACGGGUGAGUAACACGUGGGAACCUUCCUAGGGGUACGGAACAACUCAGGGAAACUUGAGCUAAUACCGUAUACGUCCGUGAGGAGAAAGAUUUAUCGCCCUUAGACGGGCCCGCGUCGGAUUAGCUAGUUGGUGGGGUAAUGGCCUACCAAGGCGACGAUCCGUAGCUGAUCUUAGAGGAUGAUCAGCCACACUGGGACUGAGACACGGCCCAGACUCCUACGGGAGGCAGCAGCGGGGAAUCUUGGACAAUGGGCGCAAGCCUGAUCCAGCCAUGCCGCGUGAGUGAAGAAGGUCUUCGGAUUGUAAAGCUCUUUUGCCAGGGACGAUAAUGACGGUACCUGGAGAAUAAGCCCCGGCAAACUUCGUGCCAGCCGCCGCGGUAAAAC
rnacentral:rRNA from 1 species